GAUGAAGAACGCAGCGAAAUGCGAUACUUGGUGUGAAUUGCAGAAUUCAGUGAAUCAUCGAAUCUUUGAACGCACAUUGCGCCCCUUGGUAUUCCAUGGGGCAUGCCUGUUCGAGCGUCAUUUGUACCUUCAAGCUCUGCUUGGUGUUGGGUGUUUGUCUCGCCUCUGCGUGUAGACUCGCCUCAAAACAAUUGGCAGCCGGCGUAUUGAUUUCGGAGCGCAGUACAUCUCGCGCUUUGCACUCAUAACGACGACGUCCAAAAGUACAUUUUUACACUCUUGACCUCGGAUCAGGUAGGGAUACCCGCUGAACUUAAGCAUAUCAAUAAGCGGAGGA
rnacentral:misc_RNA from 1 species